UACAUGGGGUGCAAACGUUGCUCGGAAUUAUUGGGCGUAAAGCGCACGUAGGCGGUUUGUUAAGUCGGAUGUGAAAUCCCUCGGCUCAACUGAGGAAGUGCAUCCGAAACUGGCAGGCUUGAGUACUAAAGAGGGUCGCGGAAUUCCCGGUGUAGAGGUGAAAUUCGUAGAUAUCGGGAGGAACACCGGUGGCGAAGGCGGCGACCUGGGUAGAUACUGACGCUGAGGUGCGAAAGCGUGGGGAGCAAACA
rnacentral:rRNA from 1 species